rnacentral:rRNA from 1 species
CCCUUAGAUGUUCUGGGCUGCACACGUGCUACACUGGCAGGUUCAGCGAGCUUCAUACCCUGAUCUGAAAGGAAUGGGAAAUCUUUUCAAAACCUGCCGUGCUUGGGAUAGAUGUUUGCAAUUAUUCAUCUUCAACGAGGAUUGCCUUGUAAGCGCACGUCAUCAGCGUGCAUUGAAUACGACCCUGUAUUCUGUACACACCGCCCGUCGCUCCUACCGAUUGAAGUUUUCGGUGAGUUGACAGGAGGAUUUUUUUGAAACUGGUUCGCCAGUGGAUUUUAGAUCCAAAUGCCAACGAAUCGAUGGCUUUAGAGGAAGGAGAAGUCGUAACA